rnacentral:rRNA from 1 species
CCUACGGGAUGCAGCAGUGAGGAAUAUUGGUCAAUGGACGCAAGUCUGAACCAGCCAUGCCGCGUGCAGGAAGACGGCUUUAUGAGUUGUAAACUGCUUUUGUACGAGGGUAAACGCAGAUACGCGUAUCUGUCUGAAAUUAUCGUACGAAUAAGGUACGGCUAACUACGUGCCUGCAGCUGCGGUAAGACGGAGGAUUCAAUCGUUAUCCGGAUUUAUUGGGUUUAAAGGGUGCGUAGGCGGUCGGAUAAGUGCGAGGUGAAAUCCCGGGGCUCAACUUCGGAAUUGCCUAUUAUACUUUUCGGCUAGAGAGUAGUUGAGGUAGGCGGAAUGUAUAGUGUAGCGGUGAAAUGCUUAGAGAUCAUACAGAACACCGAUUGCGAAGGCAGCUUACCAAGCUACUUCUGACGUUGAGACACGAAAGCGUGGGGAGAAAACAGGAUUAGAUACCCUAGUAGUC